rnacentral:rRNA from 2 species
CAGGACGAACGCUGGCGGCGUGCCUAAUACAUGCAAGUCGAACGAACUCUGGUAUUGAUUGGUGCUUGCAUCAUGAUUUACAUUUGAGUGAGUGGCGAACUGGUGAGUAACACGUGGGAAACCUGCCCAGAAGCGGGGGAUAACACCUGGAAACAGAUGCUAAUACCGCAUAACAACUUGGACCGCAUGGUCCGAGUUUGAAAGAUGGCUUCGGCUAUCACUUUUGGAUGGUCCCGCGGCGUAUUAGCUAGAUGGUGNGGUAACGGCUCACCAUGGCAAUGAUACGUAGCCGACCUGAGAGGGUAAUCGGCCACAUUGGGACUGAGACACGGCCCAAACUCCUACGGGAGGCAGCAGUAGGGAAUCUUCCACAAUGGACGAAAGUCUGAUGGAGCAACGCCGCGUGAGUGAAGAAGGGUUUCGGCUCGUAAAACUCUGUUGUUAAAGAAGAACAUAUCUGAGAGUAACUGUUCNGGUAUUGACGGUAUUUAACCAGAAAGCCACGGCUAACUACG